UACGUAGGCAGCAAGCGUUGUUCGGAGUUACUGGGCGUAAAGGGUGUGUAGGCGGUUGUUUAAGUUUGGUGUGAAAUCUCCCGGCUCAACUGGGAGGGUGCGCCGAAUACUGAAUGACUCGAGUGCGGGAGAGGAAAGUGGAAUUCCUGGUGUAGCGGUGAAAUGCGUAGAUAUCAGGAGGAACACCGGUGGUGUAGACGGCUUUCUGGACCGUAACUGACGCCGAGACACGAAAGCGUGGGUAGCAAACAGG
rnacentral:rRNA from 1 species